AACGCAUCUUGCGCUCCUUGGCAUUCCGAGGAGCACGCCUGUUUGAGUGUCAUUAAAUUCCUCAAACCCUCCAAUCUUGCCCACCCAGGGCUGGAGUGGUUGGUUUGGAUCGUUGGAGGCUUCUGCAUGCAGGUUCGCCUGCUCCUCUGAAAUACAUUAGCAAUGGCUGUGGUGUUGCGUCGUUGGCAUGGUAAAAAUACUUGUUAUUUUGUGCCUCUUGACACAGGCAACCACCUCCCAUGCUUCUAAUCUGGCCAUCCGUUUUUUCGGUGGUGCCCUUGAUGACCAUUUUGACCUCAAAUCAGGUGGGACUACCCGCUGAACUUAA
rnacentral:misc_RNA from 1 species